ensembl:lncRNA
CGCUUACUGGACGCACUGGCUUGUUUUCGGGCCGCGGCUGUGUCCUGGAGCAUCUCCCCAGGCUGACCAUCGGUGGGGCUUUCUGCUGCGGGAAGGAGGCCAACCACGAAGCUGAGUGGCACAGGUUAAUGGGCCUGCCCCAGUGCAGCACCGUGGACGUGGCUGAUUUGCUCAUUAAGGAUGUCUUUUCCGGCAUCAGAGACAACAGGCCAAGACACUACAUGGCGUGUUCUGGAGCAAAGAGAAAAUCGAGAAGGGCACAAGCGAGGAACCUUUUGGGAAUUCCUCAGGUUUUUCCAGCUGCAGAGUAGGGUGAAAACUAUCAGCUAUAAAAAUAUCACAGUUGAUGCUGUUAAACAAAUCAUCAUUUGUCAACAGGUAGCUGAAAUUAUAUCCAAUUCGAGUGACAGAGCCUAAACUGUUUUUUUUUUCAAACCCCCCCCCCCCAAUACUACUGUAUAGUAACAGCUGGCAGAAAACUGGCAACCAAGACUGCGCUGGCCUGAUAAAUAGCCCGGCGAGGCUGGAGGAGAGGCUGUAUCGCGGGGAGAGGCUGCAGCCCAGGCAGGAAUGUGUUGUACAAAGCCUUGUUAACAAUCUAUGCGCAGGCAGUAAAAUUGCUUGAUGAAAAAGUACUAGAAAAAAUGUUAUUUAAAUAAGACACAGGUUUCCUGGGGUUAUCAAAAGAGCAUGUCAAGUUUAGGCCUAAGAAUACGAAACCCCCCCAACAGCAAACCAGCAAGUGUUAGCAUUUCUUGCUCCUUGAAAUGGGGCAUUCUGGUAGUAAUGCGUGAAGUGUCCCAACCAGCUCUACGUUACAGCAAGGCAAGCCAGAAAACCAACAGAGAGAAAUAUUUUUAUAUUUGUUUCACAGCUCCCAAAUUCUGCUGGAGAAUUUUCCACUCUUCCAGAUGUUUUCUGAGAGAGAGAGAGAGAGAGACAUACCCUGCUUUCAGAUGCUGUGUUGCCUCGGAGCUGCUCAGACCACACCGGGCCACCUGGGAGACGGAAGGGUUUCUACAACGCGCUGCCAGCUGCCAGCCGGCCCCUGAAGUGCCGAAGCUGCAGGGAAGGAAGCUGAGCUGCUUCCUGAGCCGCUGAGGAGGCCGACCACCACCAGGACCAUGCAGCAGCGGGGGCUUCUGCUGGCCGGCCAGGCUGCAAACGCAGACCGGGUGUGACGGACGCUGAACCUGGCUGGUCAGCGCGUGACCUUGAAAUCCUAGUUCACCUCAACAGCAUGUCUUCAUAUGCUGCUACGAUUAAUUGGAUGCUUUUCAGUUCUUGCACAGCUUGCCCAGGGCUUCUUGUGCAAAAGCGAGUCCCACAUCUCUGCAGCUCUUUGCCAGCCUCAAGGCUCAUUUCACACAAGGACCUCUCCCUGACCUUGCUGCUGCUCACACCCUAAACAAGCUGGCGUCUCAGCAGUCCAUCCACAAGCUUGCUCACUCUUAAAGAACCUGGUUUCACCGCACUGCUCUGCAACACAACGCCCAAGAGCCUCAACCUGCCAGCUCCUCUGUGGAAGGAGAUUCGUUUCUCAGGGGCAGCUCCCCACAUAGGUCAAAGUAUUUAAUAGUGAUGACUGUCUGUAGAGGAGGGGGGAGUGGCAAAAGGAUGAGCCCAGCCUCUUCUCCGUGGUGCCCAGCAACAGGACAAGAGGCAAUGGGCAGAAACUGAACCACAGGAAGUUCCAUCUGAACCUGAGAAAAAACUUCUUCACUGUGAGGGUGACAGAGCAUUGGAACAGGUUGCCCAGAGGGGUGGUGGAGUCUCCUUCGCUGGAGAUAUUCAAAACCCGUCUGGAUGUGAUCCUGGGCAAUAUGCUCUAGGUGACCCUGCUUGAGCAGGGAGGUUGGACUAGAUGAUCUCCAGAGGUCCCUUCCAACCUAAACGAUUCUGUAAUUCUGUGUGAUUCUGUCUUUCUCCAACCCCUUGCAGUCUGGUCAGGCUUUAGUGGCGUCUACCACAGAUCGCCAGAGCCUGUGAGCUGUUGCAUGCAGCAACGUGGAAGAUUUCACCCCCCCCUUCUCUCUAGCAAACAGCCCCCAGAACGACUCUGCACCGCUGCUGUCACCUUCUGCGACUCGCUGCGGCACUC